CCUGCCCUUGGGUCCGGCAUAACCCCGGGAAACUGGGGAUAAUUCCGGAUAACGCACAUAUGCUGGAAUGCUUUAUGCGUCAAAUGGAUUCGUCUGCCCAAGGAUGGGUCUGCGGCCUAUCAGGUAGUAGUGGGUGUAAUGUACCUACUAGCCGACGACGGGUACGGGUUGUGAGAGCAAGAGCCCGGAGAUGGAUUCUGAGACAUGAAUCCAGGCCCUACGGGGCGCAGCAGGCGCGAAAACUUUACAAUGCGGGAAACCGUGAUAAGGGGACACCGAGUGCCAGCAUCAUAUGCUGGCUGUCCGGGUGUGUAAAAUACACCUGUUAGCAAGGGCCGGGCAAGACCGGUGCCAGCCGCCGCGGUAACACCGGCGGCCCGAGUGGUGAUCGUGAUUAUUGGGUCUAAAGGGUCCGUAGCCGGUUUGGUCAGUCCUCCGGGAAAUCUGACGGCUUAACCGUUAGGCUUUCGGAGGAUACUGCCAGGCUUGGAACCGGGAGAGGUAAGAGGUACUACAGGGGUAGGAGUGAAAUCUUGUAAUCCCUGUGGGACCACCUGUGGCGAAGGCGUCUUACC
rnacentral:rRNA from 1 species